UUUUUCUUUUUGUUGAGACACUAGAAAAGAGACAACUGGAAGAGAAUAUGAGAACUCAAAUAGUGAGCAGUGAGAGACAGAUUUAUGUUUGUUUCUCUCUGAGACAUAACAGAUAGUGCUUCCAAGUAAGGAUAUCAAAUUGAGACAUAUUUGAAAGUGGCAAAAUAUGUCUCACUUUUCUCUUAGUUGAGAUCAGGAAAAGAGAAAGCUGUAAGAGAAUUAAGAGAACUUGCAUGGUGCUCACUGUGAGACUUAUUUCUCAGGAGAGAAAUUUUAGAAGAAUGAGAAAACCUCUUUGGUCUCAAUUAGUGCUCAUUUAUAUCUAGGAGAUGUAAAUGUGACAUAAAACAAAUCUCAUCUCCAAUUUUGCUUUGCUAUGGGUAGUCAUGCUAUUAUACAAUCAGCCAAACAUAUGGCAGUGAUGCACAACAUUCAGUUGGGGUGUAUGAGUUUACACAUAGUGCUAAAAACAGAAAACAUCCGAUGUGUGGCACUACUGCAAAUGAAAACGAUCUGGAUAUCUUCUGCAGAUGCUGAGGUCAGACAUAACUGUCAGUCAACAAUGAAUCUCCAACCUGCUUGUGACAACAGUCUAGGUUGGUGGUAAUGGGGUAACAGUGUGGGAUGUUUUCUUGGUACACUUCAGGGUAUUUAAUACAAAAAAUUACAGUUCGAACACCACAGCCUGUCUGAGGAUGGUUGCUGACCACAUGCUUCUUCCAGUGGCUACUUCUUGCAUGUUAAUGCGCUAUGUCACAAAGCAGAAGUCAUUUCUAUCACAGUUCCCCCUGUCUCCUGCUCUCCCUCUCAGUCCCACCCAUCUCUGUGCUGCGCCUCUGACUGUGUCGCUGGUUGUGGCUCAUUGGCUCCAGCUGCGAAGAAGAACACAGCUGGAUUUGAUCACAAUCACAAUCACCCUUCACCUCCUUGCCAGAUCAUAACGCCUGUCACGUGGAAGUUUCCCGCUGGUCUGUUCCUUCCCCUGCCUGUCAGCCAGCAAUCCUGCCAGCCGACUGUCCUUGGCUCCCUGGUCGCGGCAGCGGCUUCUGUUCACCCGCCUGACCGCCUUUCGAGUCGUCACUGGCCCAGCAUCCGUGCGCUGUCUGUUCUGGCGCUCCAGGCGCGUAGCAGCUCCUGCCUGUCCUCAGUCUUUCGAGGCUCGUUCCUUCCCCCCACGGAACCUAGGCCUGCUUAACUCUCCUCUGCACCGGUGUGUCUGCCGGAUUCCGGCCCGCUGAGCCAGUCUGUCUGCUCUCCUCUCCACUGUGUUAGCUCGCGUGAGUUUGCCCCUUGAGUUGUUUUCAGUUUGGAUUUCAGUUGGCAGCUGAGCUUACCUCCUGCCUGAAGAUGAAUGUUUUGUUUACCUUCCAGAAUCCUUAGUUGUGUAGGAAGUUUUGAUUUCUCUAACCAGUUAAUGUCCUGCUUGGUUUAGUUUCAUUAUUCAAUAAUUAUCCUUGAUUUACCUGACCUGUUGCCUAGUCUGCGUGUCUGCAUUCUGGAUUCGAACCUCCAGUCCCCAUGACAAUUUCAGAGUUCAGUUUAAUUCAUUCUCCCCCUCAACCACCGAUGUAAAUCUAGCAGAACAGCUUUGGGAUGUGAUAGAACAGGAGAUAUGCAGCUUGCAAAUUUGCAGAAAUUAUGUUUCGCAAUCAACAUAAAGCAGAGGUGAUGUAAAACUUGCCAACGUCACUUGACUUUCAGAACAUUAAAAAAAUCUUCAUACCAGGCAAAACUAUCUAAAUAUCUAACCAAAUAAGCAACAACCAAUAUGUUUAAAAAACCAGAGGGAAAAGGAAGAAAUACAAAAUUCUCUAAAUAACCCAUGUAUUCUGAGCUUGGUGUAAACAGAUGUGUUAAAUAAACAAUCUAGAUUGGUCAGAGUGCUGUAGAACAGAGUGAGCUGCUUUUGCCGGGAGCAAAGAUAAGGCUUAUAAAAUUGCAGAACUUCAGUUAGCACAGGCUAUGGUUCACUGAUUCACAAACGCAGAGCUGCUGGUGUGCUUUGAGUACAUCAGUGAUGGCAGUCAUGGUCAGCUCAUUUCCAGCUUUAUGAUACAUUUUCUAAACAUCCUUUUAGUCAGGGAUAUUUUUCCCUCUUAUUACAACUAAUUAUGUUGCCUGGCAUUCAGGCAUUUGGGUUACAUGCAUGCCUGUUUUCCUCCAGCAAACAUGCUUUCACAGAGCUUUGGUUAUGCAUAAGAGGGGAAACCUUUUACACUCCCAAAGGCUUCCCCUCUCAUGCUCUCCCAUCCAGGAAAAUAAAUCCUCCUCCCAGAAUAAGGCAAGGCUGGGCUCUGACCCCACAGGCUGUUGGUAAUCAACAUGGUGUGGCAGCAGAGACGCCAUGAAGUCUGGCAUGACACAGCAUCACACUGAAAAACAAACCAAGUCUCCCUCUGUCUGAUGAGUGCCUGUUGAUGGCUGUUUGUAUAUGAUGUGUGAGCUCAGUGCCGAGCUACUAUGGUUCUCCACUAAUUCUUAACAAUGUGAUUUUGUUAUACAGGAGUAUUAUAACUCUUUUCAGACAUGUUUUCAUCAACAUUGCUGUCUUUAUCUUGCUCUGUUUACUUCCCCACAGAUUGCCUUCUUUUCUAGAGUGAACUGUAAAGCACUUUAUUUAUAUAGCAUAUUUUUAAAAAUAUUGACCAAAGUUGACUUGACAAUCUGCUAAAAUGAAGGUUACAUGGUACAUGUAAAUUUGCUAAUGUUGACAUUUUUUUAAUGUGUAAGGCGAAAAGAAGUUUAUGCCUUUAUUGAAUCAGAAUCAGAAUCACUUUUAUUUGCCAAGUAUGUGAGCAGAUACAAGGAAUUUGACUCCGGUAUUUUACAGUACCCUCUUGGUCAGGGGCCAAAAGUAUAAUCUGUUUUUCUGACCAAACCAACAAACGAAAAAGGGAAAAACAGUUAAAUUUUCAUUUUUUCGUUUUCAACCAAAAACGAAAAAACGUUUCUUUCUUUCUCAAUUCAAAACCAAAAACGAAAUUAACACAAGCAAAUUACGGCCGAAUCUCGUUUUUUGGAUUUCAAUUUUUCGUUUUUUCAUUUCAGGUCUCAAAACGAAAAAACGGAAGCAUGUGACCCCUGACCAUCACGGGUCAAAUGGACUCCCUACCAAAAUAAAAGCCUUACUAAUAAAUGGGAAAGCUGUUCUGUCAUAUGGACUUUGGGACCAGGUCAGAGUGGACCAUGGAAGGGAAUCUUACCUGUCACUGUCAGUACAGAGCAAACUGGCAGAGCACAUAUUUAAUAAAGACAAGCCGCCUUAUGUCCAGACAAUGUCAACAAAGAACCACAAGCUUGAACGUGUGUGGCCGGAAAUAAACAAUAGGGUAACCUAUCCGCUGAAAGCAGUGCUGGUAGAACUUGUUGACCAAGGCCUUAUCAACAUGGAGGACAGCACAGUCUGACACUGUGUGUCGAACCUGGCCUGGCAGGUUGCCAAUAUUGGACUGCAGCGCUUCAUUGAUGCAUGGAAUUGUCAUACAGUUUCAGGUAUUGGAUCCAAUACCUGGUAUUGUCUCUUAAGCAUGAAAAUAUAUCUCACUGUUUAGUUUUCUGGGAUCCUCCUAUGAGGACUCCCUGUCCAACCUUGCACAAUGCACACAGCUCCUAGUGAGCAGGAAAUUUGUGUCUUAGCAUAGCACAUAUGUAAAUUAUCCAUUUCUUUCACAUGUUUCAAAGACUUAUUUCAAAUUGUAUCACAUUCAUAUGUUUAUCAAUAAUCAACACAAAAUGCCACCUUUCUUCUAAAAAAUUGGCAAUCAAUUCAAAAGGAAAUUUUGAGAUUUCUAACAAAAUUUGUAAUAAACUUGCUCAUGUUUAGUAUAGCUGCAUAUUAUAUGCAUUUGAUAUCCUUGUGUCUGUGACUCAUUAACAUCAAUUUAUUCAACAUCAACUUAUCAAUUAAAUAACUUAGGGUCAGGGUUAGCGCAGCACAGUUAUGCAAAAUUAGAGUUGCCUAACGGGCAAGAGAUUCAGACACAUACAGAAACACAGAUAGAAGGCUUGUCUCAUUGCAAGAGGCUUUAACAAUAAAUAGUGAUACUCUAAGCUACAAAACAUUGAAAGUUAAUUACAGUACUGUGGAGUUGAAACAACGAGACGGGGGACGUAGGUGAGUCGAAAACUUUACUGGUUUCUCUCCACUUCACAACACAUUCAACACCACUACAUGUGUCAGUUAACCGGCAAAAACAUAAACAUAACCCGCCAGCAAUCCCAGAACCGGAAACCUAGAUUCUUAAAGGCACAAGUCCUCUUUGGUGAAUGUCUCGUCUCCUUUACAAAGUGGAUCCACCACAGUACAACAUAAUUUGUAUCAACAUCAAGAAACCAAGACAUUUUAUCUCAGGUUUUUCUUAAGGAAGAGGGAUUCCAAAUGUGCUAGCUGAGGGGGGAUGCCCGACAAAGCUGUCGGCAGAACUUCUGCCAUCCUCAAAUUUGGCCGCCGACCAAUACGCUGAGGAAAUGGGGGGAAAUCUGGCCCGAGAGUCAACAUUUGGGACCAGUCCCUUUACCUGCCAGGCUGACCAGCAAAGUGCUGAACAAGACUUUGCCGCCAUCUACCCAGACAUGGGAAGUGUACUUGAAAAUGCAAUUAAUGGACAACCUGGACCUUUCCAGCAAGCUGUGUUGUCACUGAUAGACAUCGCAAAAUGGAGGCAGCAGUUUUAGUGUUUCUUCCAAGUGUCUGCUUGUGAUUUUCUGUUGUUUUUCUGUUGAUAAUAAAAUUAUAAUAGUAAUGUUCA